CAGUUCUACUCCACACCAGCGCGAAAUAUAAUCAUUUAAACCAAAUUCUCAGUUUUAAAGCAUUACAUUAUACAUGUUUAUUUGGAUAGGGCAUCUCCUAACCGCUCAUCGGCUGAGUCGUGCCCAGCACUUCUGCCGCCGGUAUGUGAGGAAUGCGGAAACUGUGACGUGCCGCGUGAGCGCGCGAGCCAUUUCCCACGAGUGAGGCUGCGGGACAGGAAGUGAACAUGGCUCAAAUGACAAAGCCACAUUGUCCCAGUACCGAUCCACAGCAGAGGGCAAGACCUGACAAAAAACCGGCCGGCAAGGACUCAGCAUUGACCGGCAUGACAAUGAGCCACACAGAGCCCACAGAGGCAAGAUAAAGAAUAGGGAGAGGAGGCACAGCCAAGGCUAGCACACCACCUCUCUGCACUUCAUUAUGAUCUCCUCAUCCUGCAGGAAAAGGCACUGGCUGUUCUCAGAGCUGCAAACCAGGGAGGAAGGACAGAUAAUGCUCCCUCAGAAGCUGGUCUGACAGACAAACGGCAAUAAAUAUCAGUGCAUUAAGGAGCUCUGAGGUAUGAACUUCCCACAAGACCUUGUCAAUGAGCUUGAAGUUUGAUUCGAAUGAGAAUUAAAGCAUUACAAGCCAGAAAA